CUUUCCUAUUUCUUUCUCUUUUCGUUCCCUUUUCUCUCCUCUUUUCCUCCUCCUCUCUUCCUUUCCCAGAGAAAUCUCCAGGUACUGUCCCUUUUCGUUGUCCUCAAGAAAGCUAUAAUACCAGGAACGGUAGGAGGAAAAACCACUCACACAGAGAGAAUCAACCAUGAGUAGGGGCUUGGGGUACCAGUAAAGCUUCUACACGAACCAUGAGUAGGAGCUUGAGAUGUUGCUUGCAGUGAUAUCUCUUGUAAACGCUAAAGAAAAAAAAGGUGGUUCAGUGGAAGCCAGGUUACGUGAUCGAGAGGAGUGGAAUCAGCUUGAAAGGAACGUAAGAGAAAGAGAUGAUGCAGUAGGAACACGAAAGGUAAAUGAUGGAUUUGAUAUCAUUCUGUACAAUUUUCUGGAAUAACCUAUGUGCUUCAGGCCUAGUCCAUGUGUCAAAAUAGAACCUAGGGGCCAGCUAACAAAGGCAUAAUAUCAUUGAGAGAUUCUUAAAUGUAUUAAUCUUUCAUUAUAUUAAGCUUUGUGAAUGUGUUGAGUUA